GCAUUCUCGAGCUAAAAGGAGAAGCAAGCGAUAGUCAGCCUUAUCUUUGUGAAAUGGAACACACAAAUGAGGAAGCAUGAGUCACCUCAAGGCAUUUCAUUUCAAACCUCAGCCCUGCUGGUAACUGGUUGAUGAAACAGGAAGAGCAUCAUGAAGUUGGCUGACACGGGAAAAGUUACCACGGACCAACCUUGCACUCCCAGGACAAAUCCCGCUUGGUGAUGUGCUGACUGAUGGCAUACAUCAUCAUUCUUGAAAACCCCAAAAAAGCUUCCAAUGAAAUAUAAACUCGGACUGGUAGCUGUAUCUUAGAUCAGAGAGCUGUUGUUGGAU